GAUGAAGAACGUAGCGAAAUGCGAUAAGUAAUGUGAAUUGCAGAAUUCAGUGAAUCAUCGAAUCUUUGAACGCACAUUGCGCCCCCCAGUAUUCUGGCGGGCAUGCCUGUUCGAGCGUCAUUUCAACCAUCAAGCCCUGCUUGUGUUGGGGUCCUGCGGCUGCCCGCAGGCCCUGAAAACCAGUGGCGGGCUCGCUAGUCACACCGAGCGCAGUAGCACAUCUCGCUCAGGGCGUGCGGCGGGCUCCAGCCGUUAAAGCACCCACCUUUCGCAAGGUUGACCUCGGAUCAGGUAGGAAUAUCCGCUGAACUUAAGCAUAUCAAUAAGCGGAGGA
rnacentral:misc_RNA from 1 species